rnacentral:rRNA from 1 species
GUGCCAGCAGCCGCGGUAAAACGUAGGAGCCUAGCGUUAUCCGAAUUCACUGGGCGUAAAGCGCGUGUAGGCGGCCGGAUAAGUUGGCUGUGAAAUCUCCUGGCUCAACUAGGAGAGGCCGGUCAAGACUAUUCGGCUCGAGGACGGUAGAGGAAGGUAGAAUUCCCGGUGUAGUGGUGAAAUGCGUAGAUAUCGGGAGGAAUACCUGUGGCGAAAGCGGCCUUCUGGGCCGGACCUGACGCUCAAACGCGAAAGCCAGGGGAGCAAACGGGAUUAGAAACCCCUGUAGUCC